UUCUGUGAGGUAUUAUAUUACAGCAGCAAGAGAAGUUCCUCAGCCCUAUAGGUUUCCUGAGCCUCCUAUGAUCCCUUAGUUCCCUAGUCUUUUCUCUUCCUCUGUCCCAAAAGGGUCAUUUCCACUUGGAGGAAAUGACUACACAAGGCCUGAAGUAAAGCUAUCUUCUCAUUUGGCUUCCCACUAUGGCUUCAUAACUAUGAGGAUUUUACUGCUGAAGAAUUUCAUCUCUUCAUCCUACCUGACCUGCAAAGAAACCCUAAGCACCCUUCCUGGAUCAAUGCAGACAAAGGCUUGCUCCUGAGGGCAGUGAGCAGCCGCAGAAGCACCUUUAUCUUCCACCCCAUCUUUAUUUACACCCUCUCAACAUCAAAGCCAAGAGAAUCUUCCUUCAGUCUGGUGUUCAGGGCAGAGCUGAAAAGAGAUGGAGCUCAAAUCCUGCAUGCAGCCAGGAUCCUAUGCUGAUGAAAAAUCAAAAUCUGGAUUUGUAAAGGUCCGUGUAUUUAUCCAGGAACCAGCAGACAGAGAACUUCUAAUUCCACUGGGCUCCACUUGGCCUGGUACCAACUGCUUGGCCCGCCGAUGGAUUAAAUUUGGGUUGCCCUCAGGAUUCCGUGUUCAACCAUCUGGAUCUGCUGCUGUGUCACCACGGAGGCUCCUUCUAGCCUGAUGUUCCUUCUAUGCACAUAUCCAAUCAGAAUUACAUUCCACUGAAGAAUCAUUCCAACUCAGCCCCAGGGAAUCUAACUGCAAAUUCUUCUGAUAAGGUACCUUCUACAGAGUAACCCUACACCAAAGAAUUCCUAAGAAAACAGGAAAAUAUAUCAUUUCUCUGGAUCUGGUGUGAAAAGAACUGAACUAUUUUUUACCAAGCUUUUGCUCUCAAAACUUAUUUCAAGAAUAAGAUAAGUGAAGGAACCUAGUGUUCAAACCUGCUCUGCUACCACACAGCACAGGACAAGUCACUGAAGACACCGUCAGCCAUCCCACCUGUCCUCAUGACUUCUUUUCUGACCCUCCUGCAGGUAAA
rnacentral:sRNA from 1 species